rnacentral:rRNA from 1 species
UACGUAGGGGGCAAGCGUUAUCCGGAAUUAUUGGGCGUAAAGAGUGCGUAGGUGGUUACCUAAGCGCAAGGUUUAAUUUAGAGGCUCAACCUCUACUUGCCUUGCGAACUGGGCUACUUGAGUGCAGGAGGGGAAAGCGGAAUUCCUAGUGUAGCGGUGAAAUGCGUAGAUAUUAGGAGGAACACCAGCGGCGAAGGCGGCUUUCUGGACUGUAACUGACACUGAGGCACGAAAGCGUGGGAAGCAAACAGGAUUAGAUACCCUGGUAGUCCACGCCGUAAACGAUGAGCACUAGGUGUUGGGCCCGUUAGGGCUCAGUGCCGCAGUUAACGCAAUAAGUGCUCCGCCUGGGGAGUACGCUCGCAGGAGUAAA